rnacentral:misc_RNA from 1 species
GAAAAAUGGUGAAGAUCAACUAUCAAAAUCACUCCAAAAGCAGGCAGCAGCAUGGGUAACGGCCAUUUUCCAAAGGAGAAGAGCCAUCCCAAAGAAAUCCAUUGUCUGUUGUUAUAGCAUGCGCGUAAAUUUAAAGUACACACAACUGCACAAUCACACAAUAUAAAUAAUAGAGAAUUUACGUGGUUCGACAGUAAAGUCUAUAUCCACAAGCAAGACAAAAGAAAUAUAAUUAAAAGGUAAGACACACUCAAAACUCUUAAACCCUAAUUCAAUAUUUUCGAAUAUC